rnacentral:sRNA from 2 species
UGCCCAUGCAUAGCUAUCCCGAUGUCAAUGGGAGAGCAUGUUUAUCCCUUCUGAUCUGGUUAUUUUUGGUAGUCAAUAACUAGUAAAUAUACGCUCAUGAAGUGAGGACUCACUGAAAACUCAGUAUCUUACUUCCAAGCAAUUCCACUGCUUUGACAAUAAAUGUGAUGACGCGUACCCCACAGCUGAAGUUCAAACUUCCUGAAAAUAGUAGCAAUUGCGAUAAGCAGUGUCGUCUGCGCUAGACUGUUAAAUGGUAGAGCAAGCAUCAGAUUGGACACCAGGUAUCUCUCAAGUCGCUUUCGUUCCUGCAGGUCCAGCCAGCGCUCUGGAACAAACUUGCAUGAGUUUGGGAAGAUGGUUUCAUUGUGGUGCAUGAGAACCGAUGUCAUUCCAACGGGAGUCUGUCAAUUGGAAGAAAGGGCUCAUGAGCAAGGUCCGUCUUGUCGAUGUUCAAAUAAUAAUAAGAUAGCGACUUCCGUUGCAGCCGUGUGCUUACUCCGUACGACAACCUAGGAGUCAAGUUUCAUUAACCUUCUGUCAAUCUGGGUUCCGUACACCAGGAGACAAACCAGGUAUGGAAGCUUUCCCAGCUCGUGGACUUGCUGCUCAGAAUUGCCACCGUCUUCCAAAAUGGAAAGCUCGUUUUGAAGUUUUUGGAGUUUGUCUGGAUUGUCGAGAAGAUGGUAUGUUAUGACAGUUAGCGCGUUUGACGUUGUUUCAAUACCCGCAGCUGUUGUAGAUCGGAUUUCUUGGAGAAUUCGCUCAGGAGUUUUCUCUUCAACUUCCAAAUUAGAAUCAAGGAUUUGGUCGAUCAACGUGUAUCCCUUUGAUAUUUCCGUUUCCACACGCUGAGAGCCUUUACCUCUAUCUAUUUGUAUUUCAUCAAUCUUACGACGAAAUCGUUCUUCCAGUUCAAAAAACAAGCCCAGACCAGGGUUUGAGGAGGAUACCCAGGCUCGAGGGAAGUGUUUUAAAAUUUCAAGUAACCAGGUGACCUGCCUAGAUACCAUCACCAUUUCUGAUAAAGUUCGCAACGCCC